rnacentral:rRNA from 1 species
UAGCUAGUUGGUGAGGUAAAGGCUUACCAAGGCGACGAUCUGUAGCGGGUCUGAGAGGAUGAUCCGCCACACUGGAACUGAGACACGGUCCAGACUCCUACGGGAGGCAGCAGUGGGGAAUUUUGGACAAUGGGGGCAACCCUGAUCCAGCCAUGCCGCGUGAGUGAAGAAGGCCUUCGGGUUGUAAAGCUCUUUCGGCCGGGAAGAAAUCGCAUGGGCCAAUACCCUGUGUUAUGACGGUACCGGAAUAAGAAGCACCGGCUAACUACGUGCCAGCAGCCGCGGUAAUACGUAGGGUGCGAGCGUUAAUCGGAAUUACUGGGCGUAAAGCGUGCGCAGGCGGUUUUGUAAGACAGGCAUGAAAUCCCCGGGCUUAACCUGGGAACUGCGUUUGUGACUGCAAGGCUAGAGUACGGCAGAGGGGGGUGGAAUUCCACGUGUAGCAGUGAAAUGCGUAGAGAUGUGGAGGAACACCAAUGGCGAAGGCAGCCCCCUGGGUCGAUACUGACGCUCAUGCACGAAAGCGUGGGUAGCAAACAGGAUUAGAUACCCUGGUAGUCCACGCCCUAAACUAUGUCAAAUAGGUGUUGGGUGGGUAAAACCAUUUAGUACCGUAGCUAACGCGUGAAGUUGACCGCCUGGGGAGUACGGCCGCAAGGUUAAAACUCAAAGGAAUUGACGGGGACCCGCACAAGCGGUGGAUGAUGUGGAUUAAUUCGAUGCAACGCGAAAAACCUUACCUACCCUUGACAUGCCAGGAACUUGCCAGAGAUGGCUUGGUGCCCGAAAGGGAGCCUGGACACAGGUGCUGCAUGGCUGUCGUCAGCUCGUGUCGUGAGAUGUUGGGUUAAGUCCCGCAACGAGCGCAACCCUUGUCGUUAAUUGCCAUCAUUUGGUUGGGCACUUUAACGAGACUGCCGGUGACAAACCGGAGGAAGGUGGGGAUGACGUCAAGUCCUCAUGGCCCUUAUGGGUAGGGCUUCACACGUCAUACAAUGGUCGGUACAAAGGGUUGCCAAGCCGCGAGGCGGAGCCAAUCCCAGAAAGCCGAUCGUAGUCCGGAUUGCAGGCUGCAACUCGCCUGCAUGAAGUCGGAAUCGCUAGUAAUCGUGGAUCAGCAUGUCACGGUGAAUACGUUCCCGGGUCUUGUACACACCGCCCGUCACACCAUGGGAGCGGGUUCCGCCAGAAGUAGGUAGCCUAACCGCAAGGGGGGCGCUUACCACGGCGGGGUUCGUGGCUGGGGUGAAGUCGUAACAAGGUAGCCGUAGGGGAACCUGCGGCUG